rnacentral:lncRNA from 1 species
AGACCCCAGCAAUUUGUAUGCAGUCUCAUGUGAACUCUUGGAUUUGGAAGGCAGUUUUGCCUCCUUUUUUUUUUUUUUUUUUUUUUAAAGAAAAAAACUCUGCUGUUCAGCUUCUUGUGCUUAAUGAGUCUGUUCGGAAGGGAAAACUAGCAAACAACCAAACAGGAGUUCUGCCCUUUAAGCAAUUGCUUUCUAGGUUCUUUAUCAGAAUAUCAUUGGGCUGUAAAGGAUUCUCCAGAUUUCUUCUGUACAUGGGGAUAGCUCCUAUGGUGGAAAAUGGCAAUUUAUGUGGGAUAAGAACUGACCUUACGCAUGCGUCCUCUGCAAGCUUUCUAUGGAAUCCAGCACUAGGUGACUUUCAAUGA